GUCGGCGCGACAUCUCCCCCAAGUGACGCGUCGACCUGGGUACCGACGGACUGCGUGCCCUUGUUUUACUCCUAAUGGUCUUAGCCCGGAUUCACCCCCCAGAACCCGGGUUUUUUUU
rnacentral:sRNA from 3 species